rnacentral:rRNA from 1 species
ACUCCUACGGGAGGCAGCAGUGAGGAAUUUUGCGCAAUGGCCGCAAGGCUGACGCAGCAACGCCGCGUGGGUGAUGAAGGCCUUCGGGUCGUAAAGCCCUGUCAGGUGGGAAGAAAGGCCUUGAUAAGAAACGGUUGAGGUUUGACGGUACCACCAGAGGAAGCACCGGCUAACUCCGUGCCAGCAGCCGCGGUAAUACGGAGGGUGCGAGCGUUAUUCGGAAUUGCUGGGCGUAAAGCGCGUGUAGGCGGGGAUGCAAGUCUGAUGUGAAAGCCCUGGGCUUAACCUGGGAAGUGCAUUGGAAACUGCAUUUCUUGAGUACUGGAGAGGAAGGGGGAAUUCCCGGUGUAGAGGUGAAAUUCGUAGAGAUCGGGAGGAAUACCAGUGGCGUAGGCGCUCUUCUGGACGGUAACUGACGCUGAGACGCGAAAGCGUGGGGAGCAAACAGGAUUAGAUACCCUGGUAGUCCACGCUGUAAACGAUGAUCACUAGGUGUAGCGGGUACUCAUUCCUGCUGUGCCGUAGCUAACGCGUUAAGUGAUCCGCCUGGGGAUUACGGUCGCAAGACUAAAACUCAAAGGAAUUGACGG